ACACUAUAUUUUUUUUUAUGAGUGAACGGGGCUAGAUCCCAAAUCCCCAAACAGGCUUUCGAUUCUUACAUCUCUUGUCAUCAGCUCCUCCUUCUAUCUGAAGGUGAACUAUAGUAAUUACAUUAUCUUCUCUCGCAAUUCAUCUUGCAUCUUGAUUUGCUUUUCCAGAAUGUUGCAAUUUCCUUGCAUGUCAGGGUUCUCUAUUUGUGGUGCUUCCUGUGGACAAGAACAACAUUUUUGGGCAAAAAUUGUCCAGUCUGCGUUUUCAAAUGUUGUUAGUAGAUUGACAUAGGAAGAGACUGCUGGAGAUCCUGCAAUAUAGCAGCUGCAGAUUUGUGUUUUAAUUUGGUUUUGCAAUUUGCAGCAAGGGUAUAAAGACAAAUCUACUGAUUUUUAUUUUUAUUUUGCUUUUGCUCUUUCAUUUUCUGGGUUUUCUUCUCACAUCUCAGAAUUUUAGACGAAUCAGGUCUUGUACUUCUAGAGAUUCAGAUCUGUUUAUAUAUUAGUAAUGUUUAUAAUUGAA